ACACAUACCCUGGCAUCUGUGCUUCAGUCUGGAUGUUUUACUGAUUUGUAUUCCAGUUAAUUCAUCCUCUCUUCUGCUGGGUCAAGCCUGAGGUCCUGUAGUCCAGUGCUGGGAAGACUAGAAUUUCUCUACUUCCAUGUCCCAUGCAGUACCAAGGGUUCGCUGAAGCCAGAAGCUCUGGAGAGGCCUUAAAGCAGAAAAUGGAAGUAAGUAAGGAGUGGAGAACCAAAGAGCAUAUGAGAAUUAGUGGCCCAUAUGUGGGAAUUAAACUUUAAAGUUCCUCUGGAUGUCAAAAGUGAUUCAGAGUGAUUCUAAUAAUGACUAAACUGCUGAUUAAGCAUGAUGCUUCAUUGUCUGAUUUGCGGGUCAGUUGAUAUGUGUUCUUGGACUACAUUUUCUCCUAUAAACAGAGGUAAAAAAAUGAAAAAAUAUAAACACAAAAUCAAAUCAUUGUGAAUGAAUGGAUAGACCAAUAAGCAUAUGCUUAUGUUAUUGAAAAACGACCAUUGGAGAGAGAAGCAUACAGGAGCUAAAAGAGCCAGUUCUGGAACCUAACUGACUCAAGUUGAGUCCCACUUCUGCUCUUUGCUAAUGGUAUGCUCUGAAGAAGUAUAUUCCCACUGUGCCUCCAUGUUCUCAUCCCUAAAAUGGGCCUCACAGGAUUUUGUGAAGACGUACAAGAGUCAAUCCAUAAAAUACUUGGAAUUACAAAGCCCAAGAAAACAGGAGGCAUACCAGCACUCCAGAUGAAGCAGAGGUGAUGGAAAUAAUUCUCCCUGCUUGCAUACUUCACAAGGCUCAUGUGUGGACCAAUGGGAGCUGCAGAUGAAAGUGGAGCUGGAGCACAAACUUCGGAAGUAUUGAUGAUACGGAAUCGAAAUUGAAUCUGCCAUACUGAUCACUAUUUUUAUUCAUAGGAGUUGGCUCAUUGUGGCCUGAGGCUGUUUUCAUAAGUCUAAUCAUGUCCAAAACAUAAAUUUUGUUGCCAUAGAGCCCUGGAAUCGCAGCACUGUUACCUGAUUCAUUGGUUCAUGAUGGGUUGGUACCAUCAGAGCACCAGUUAAACAUGAGGAUGUCGGGUAAAAAAUAAUAUUAAAAUUGACAUGGAUAUGUGAAACAGAAUUAAAAGUCCACUGACAUGUUUAAAGGAAAGUAAGACUUUAUAAAAACUUUAAGAUUUGUGUGGAUACUUUUGGCCACUCUCCCAUGUUUGGGGGGAUUAUAUUUUCCCUCCUCUCUGACUGCCAGUGUGCCUGAUAGAGGAAAAGUGUCAACAGUCCUAGCCACAUGAUUCAGAUGCUGGGGGCAAUUCUGAAAGAGAGUGUUAAAAAUUGCUUAUUGAGUGUUAAAAUUUAACACUUAUUGAGAGUGUUAAAAAUUGACAGGGGUUCCCUAAUGGCUCAGCCGGUUAAGGACCUGACAUUGUCACUGCUAAAGCUCUGGCUUGAGCUUUGGCAGCGUUCAAUCCCUGAACUGGGAAAUUAUAAAUGCUGCAGGUACAGCCAAAAAAAAAAAAAAAAAAAAAAAAAA
rnacentral:lncRNA from 1 species